CCCAAAUGAUCUAAUUGAAAGGCUUGAUAGACUUUGAUGUGGCCGAAGUGAGUUGAGAACUUGCUCUUCAUCACUCGAGUUUCUGAAAACAGAGGAAAAUUCAUUAGUCCAUUGCAAGACUAAUUCAGUNNNNNNNGCUUCAAAUUGGCAGAAUCUGCAUCUCCAAUAUCUACCACAUUCUCUAAACUUGUAAUGUGAAGCUGCCCUUGUAGAUUAGAAAGUUUCUUCAAUUCUGUUAUCCUUCUGUUGCAUUUCCCCACGAUAAACUUAGGCAACAUACAGAGACCAGUCAAAUUACCGAUAUGUGGUGGCAUCUCUUGCAAACUUGAUGUGCCAGUAAUAUCAA
rnacentral:misc_RNA from 1 species